AGAGUGAACGCUGGCGGUAGGCCUAACACAUGCAAGUCGAACGGCAGCACGGUAAGAGCUUGCUCUUAUGGGUGGCGAGUGGCGGACGGGUGAGGAAUACAUCGGAAUCUACCUUUUGGUGGGGGAUAACGUAGGGAAACUUACGCUAAUACCGCAUACGCCCUUCGGGGGAAAGCCGGGGACCAGCAAUGGCCUGGUGCUGAUAGAUGAGCCGAUGUCGGAUUAGCUAGUUGGUGAGGUAAUGGCUCACCAAGGCGACGAUCCGUAGCUGGUCUGAGAGGAUGAUCAGCCACACUGGAACUGAGACACGGUCCAGACUCC
rnacentral:rRNA from 1 species